rnacentral:tRNA from 1 species
GCGGGAGUGGCUCAGUUGGUAGAGCGUAACCUCGCCAAGGUAGAGUUCGAGAGGCCGAGACUCUUCCCCCGCUCCA